UACGGAGGAUGCAAGCGUUAUCCGGAUUCAUUGGGUUUAAAGGGUGCGUAGGCGGCUAUUUAAGUCAGUGGUGAAAUCUUGCCGCUUAACGGUAAAAUUGCCAUUGAUACUGAAUAGCUUGAGUACAGUUGAGGUAGGCGGAAUGUGUAGUGUAGCGGUGAAAUGCUUAGAUAUUACACAGAACACCAAUUGCGAAGGCAGCUUACUAAACUGUCACUGACGCUGAUGCACGAAAGCGUGGGGAUCGAACAGG
rnacentral:rRNA from 1 species